rnacentral:ncRNA from 1 species
AAUCACUCCGAGCUUUGUGACCUAAAACAUUCUGUCACGGUCACAAAGCCGCAGGAUCGCAAUGUCCUGCCGGGGUAUAGCCGGAAACGACUGUGCCUUCCCUUUUUGAAAAGGAGUAAC